UUUCGACAGAGCGGCCCCCCCCUCCCGUCUUCACCGACACAUGACGGCAGCAGCGAGCGGCUUCCGGAGCCGCUCCGCCCCCCCCACCUCCACCACCUGCAGUACCGCCGUUCGGACGCACGGUGGCAGCACACGCUCCCUUUUUCGGUGCCGCAGGGGAAACGGGCUCCGGAGCUGCUGCUCCGCGCCCGGCUUCAGUCCUCCGUGGAAUGCUCCUCGGAGCGGUGCUUUUGGUUUUGCAAACGCCGCAGGCAUCACCUGCACACACAGAGCUCCUGCCCUCGCUUGGCCACCUGAAAUUCAGAGGGAGCUCUGCACACGGCCUCUCCGGUGCCCGAUCUCUGGAUCUCUCUCUAAGAGAUGGGGCUGUUCUCUGGAUAAAGCACGCCGGGGUUUGCUCUGUUGAAGAGCCCUUUUCUCCCUGGAUCUCCUCCUGGGCUGCAGCCAUCAGCCAAAACGGAAAGCACUGCUCAUCCUACCUCUUUUACCCCAGCUUUGGAGUCUUGCGGCGUUUUGUGCUGUUGUGCUGGGAUGUUUGCCGUAAUGGAAUCAGCUGAGUGCGGAGCAUCAGGACCUCUCAAGGCUUCCCAGCAGCUCCCACCCGUAAGCACCAAAGAGUCCUCCUCAGCCUCGGGUCUGAGUCAGCUCCCCGGGCAUGGGGCAUUCUGUGCUGCAGGGAACAGAGCGUGCGGGCGACACGGGUCCUGCAUGGACACCUCGUUGCUGCUCUCGUCUGCGUGCGAUCAUCCAGGGUGAGACCAGGGGACAUACUAGGAAGACUGCUUGGGAUGCCUUCCGUCUUCUCCCUGCGUACCAGGAACUCUGUCAUCUGACGCUCCUCCAGAUGGACCUCCUUUCCAGCUGAACUCAAUCACCACUGCACUGAUUUCAGGCCUUGUCCACCUAGGAGUCACAAACGUUUUCUUUUUCGUAUGUUCCUUAACUCUUCUGUGCAGAAAGUGGCAUGACAGUUCAGUCUUGAGUGGCAUCUGAAACGCAGGUUUCA